CUCGAGAUAACUCCAACCCAAUGUGACGUUACCAAACUGUUGCCUCGGCGGGAUCUCUGCCCCGGGCGCGUCGCAGCCCCGGACCAAGGCGCCCGCCGGAGGACCAACCAAAACUCUUAUUGUAUACCCCCUCGCGGGUUUUUUACUAUCUGAGCCAUCUCGGCGCCCCUCGUGGGCGUUUCGAAAAUGAAUCAAAACUUUCAACAACGGAUCUCUUGGUUCUGGCAUCGAUGAAGAACGCAGCGAAAUGCGAUAAGUAAUGUGAAUUGCAGAAUUCAGUGAAUCAUCGAAUCUUUGAACGCACAUUGCGCCCGCCAGUAUUCUGGCGGGCAUGCCUGUCCGAGCGUCAUUUCAACCCUCGAACCCCUCCGGGGGGUCGGCGUUGGGGAUCGGCCCUUUACGGGGCCGGCCCCGAAAUACAGUGGCGGUCUCGCCGCAGCCUCUCCUGCGCAGUAGUUUGCACACUCGCAUCGGGAGCGCGGCGCGUCCACAGCCGUUAAACACCCCAAACUUCUGAAAUGUUGACCUCGGAUCAGGUAGGAAUACCCGCUGAACUUAAGCAUAUAAAUAAGGAGGAGGAA
rnacentral:rRNA from 1 species